rfam:Alligator mississippiensis ScZkoYb_33, whole genome shotgun sequence.
UUUCUUUCUUUCAGCACAUAUACUAAAAUUGGAACGAUACAGAAAAGAUUAGCAUGGCCCCUGCGAAAGGAUGACACGCAAAUUGGAGAGGCUGAUGUCUCCACU